GGUUAAGCGACUAAGCGUACACGGUGGAUGCCCUGGCAGUCAGAGGCGAUGAAGGACGUGCUAAUCUGCGAAAAGCGCCGGCGAGGUGAUAUGAACCUUUGACCCGGCGAUGUCCGAAUGGGGAAACCCAGUGUGAUUCGUCACACUAUCGUUAACUGAAUACAUAGGUUAACGAGGCGAACCGGGGGAACUGAAACAUCUAAGUACCCCGAGGAAAAGAAAUCAACCGAGAUUCCCCCAGUAGCGGCGAGCGAACGGGGAGCAGCCCAGAGUCUGAAUCAGCUUGUGUGUUAGUGGAACGGUCUGGAAAGUCCGGCGAUACAGGGUGACAGCCCCGUACACGAAAGCACACAGGUUGUGAACUCGAAGAGUAGGGCGGGACACGUGGUAUCCUGUCUGAAUAUGGGGGGACCAUCCUCCAAGGCUAAAUACUCCUGACUGACCGAUAGUGAACCAGUACCGUGAGGGAAAGGCGAAAAGAACCCCGGCGAGGGGAGUGAAAAAGAACCUGAAACCGUGUACGUACAAGCAGUGGGAGCACCUUCGUGGUGUGACUGCGUACCUUUUGUAUAAUGGGUCAGCGACUUAUAUUCUGUAGCAAGGUUAACCGUAUAGGGGAGCCGAAGGGAAACCGAGUCUUAACUGGGCGUUAAGUUGCAGGGUAUAGACCCGAAACCCGGUGAUCUAGCCAUGGGCAGGUUGAAGGUUGGGUAACACUAACUGGAGGACCGAACCGACUAAUGUUGAAAAAUUAGCGGAUGACUUGUGGCUGGGGGUGAAAGGCCAAUCAAACCGGGAGAUAGCUGGUUCUCCCCGAAAGCUAUUUAGGUAGCGCCUCGUGAACUCAUCUUCGGGGGUAGAGCACUGUUUCGGCUAGGGGGCCAUCCCGGCUUACCAACCCGAUGCAAACUACGAAUACCGAAGAAUGUUAUCACGGGAGACACACGGCGGGUGCUAACGUCCGUCGUGAAGAGGGAAACAACCCAGACCGCCAGCUAAGGUCCCAAAGUCAUGGUUAAGUGGGAAACGAUGUGGGAAGGCACAGACAGCCAGGAUGUUGGCUUAGAAGCAGCCAUCAUUUAAAGAAAGCGUAAUAGCUCACUGGUCGAGUCGGCCUGCGCGGAAGAUGUAACGGGGCUAAACCAUGCACCGAAGCUGCGGCAGCGACGCUUAUGCGUUGUUGGGUAGGGGAGCGUUCUGUAAGCCGUUGAAGGUGUGCUGUGAGGCAUGCUGGAGGUAUCAGAAGUGCGAAUGCUGACAUAAGUAACGAUAAAGCGGGUGAAAAGCCCGCUCGCCGGAAGACCAAGGGUUCCUGUCCAACGUUAAUCGGGGCAGGGUGAGUCGACCCCUAAGGCGAGGCCGAAAGGCGUAGUCGAUGGGAAACAGGUUAAUAUUCCUGUACUUGGUGUUACUGCGAAGGGGGGACGGAGAAGGCUAUGUUAGCCGGGCGACGGUUGUCCCGGUUUAAGCAUGUAGGCGGAGGUUCCAGGUAAAUCCGGUACCUUUUAACGCUGAGGUGUGAUGACGAGGCACUACGGUGCUGAAGUAACAAAUGCCCUGCUUCCAGGAAAAGCCUCUAAGCAUCAGGUAACAUCAAAUCGUACCCCAAACCGACACAGGUGGUCAGGUAGAGAAUACCAAGGCGCUUGAGAGAACUCGGGUGAAGGAACUAGGCAAAAUGGUGCCGUAACUUCGGGAGAAGGCACGCUGAUAUGUAGGUGAAGCCCCUGCGGGUGGAGCUGAAAUCAGUCGAAGAUACCAGCUGGCUGCAACUGUUUAUUAAAAACACAGCACUGUGCAAACACGAAAGUGGACGUAUACGGUGUGACGCCUGCCCGGUGCCGGAAGGUUAAUUGAUGGGGUUAGCGGCAACGCGAAGCUCUUGAUCGAAGCCCCGGUAAACGGCGGCCGUAACUAUAACGGUCCUAAGGUAGCGAAAUUCCUUGUCGGGUAAGUUCCGACCUGCACGAAUGGCGUAAUGAUGGCCAGGCUGUCUCCACCCGAGACUCAGUGAAAUUGAACUCGCUGUGAAGAUGCAGUGUACCCGCGGCAAGACGGAAAGACCCCGUGAACCUUUACUAUAGCUUGACACUGAACACUGGUCCUUGAUGUGUAGGAUAGGUGGGAGGCUUUGAAGCGUGGACGCCAGUCUGCGUGGAGCCAACCUUGAAAUACCACCCUUUAAUGGCUGGUGUUCUAACGUAGACCCGUAAUCCGGGUUGCGGACAGUGUCUGGUGGGUAGUUUGACUGGGGCGGUCUCCUCCCAAAGAGUAACGGAGGAGCACGAAGGUUAGCUAAUCCUGGUCGGACAUCAGGAGGUUAGUGCAAUGGCAUAAGCUAGCUUGACUGCGAGAGUGACGGCUCGAGCAGGUGCGAAAGCAGGUCAUAGUGAUCCGGUGGUUCUGAAUGGAAGGGCCAUCGCUCAACGGAUAAAAGGUACUCCGGGGAUAACAGGCUGAUACCGCCCAAGAGUUCAUAUCGACGGCGGUGUUUGGCACCUCGAUGUCGGCUCAUCACAUCCUGGGGCUGAAGUAGGUCCCAAGGGUAUGGCUGUUCGCCAUUUAAAGUGGUACGCGAGCUGGGUUUAGAACGUCGUGAGACAGUUCGGUCCCUAUCUGCCGUGGGCGCUGGAGAAUUGAGGGGGGCUGCUCCUAGUACGAGAGGACCGGAGUGGACGCAUCACUGGUGUUCGGGUUGUCAUGCCAAUGGCACUGCCCGGUAGCUAAAUGCGGAAAAGAUAAGUGCUGAAAGCAUCUAAGCACGAAACUUGCCCCGAGAUGAGUUCUCCCUGACCCUUUAAGGGUCCUGAAGGAACGUUGAAGACUACGACGUUGAUAGGUCGGGUGUGUAAGCGCAGCGAUGCGUUGAGCUAACCGAUACUAAUGAACCGUGAGGCUUAACCUU
rnacentral:rRNA from 1 species